GUUCAUUGUCUUCACUUCUGUUCCAAAGAAUUCCAUGUAAUAGUUAUAGGCUAAUAGCUUCUUCCUAUAAACUGUAAUUUUCCUCAAACUUUGUUCCUAGGAUUCACUUUUUCUGUAAAAAAGAUUAUAGCUUUAUUGGUUAUUGGGUGUCUGAGAUUUUGGUUUUCCGUGUCUGGUACUCAUAUUGAAGCUCUGACUGUAAUCUUGAUUCGCGGGCUUUCUAGAAGAGUUCAAAAUCGAGACGUCUGGUUAAGGGUGUGUUUGAUAUGUAUUUCAAGAACAGAGGAGCAACAGAAAGGCCAUCAAGAAGUGUAGUUUCAAAAAAAUGGAGUCUUUUUCUAUGUCUUGGAAGUUUUUGUGCUGGAAUGUUCUUCACAAACAGAAUGUGGAUAGUUUCUGAAACAAAAGAAGGAAUUACAAGAACAACUACAGUUGAAGCUGAAAGAUUGAAAUUAAUUUCAGAGAAUUGCAUUACAAAAUUUUUGCAGCAGCAAGAUGUAAAACUUGUAUCCAAAGAUAAUUUUGGGAUAUUAGAUAAAACCAUUUCAAAUUUGGAGAUAGAGUUGGCUGAAGCAAAGGCAGCUCACGAGUCGAUUCUCAGUGGGGUUCCGAUAUCAGAAGAGAUUGAAAAGGGUGAAUCACGAAGAAGAAGAAAAUAUUUUAUGGUGGUAGGAAUAAACACUGCAUUUAGUAGCAGAAAAAGAAGGGAUUCAGUUCGCG
rnacentral:misc_RNA from 1 species